rnacentral:rRNA from 1 species
CAGUAGCCACGGGAACACGUAGGGUGCAAGCGUUAAUCGGAAUUACUGGGCGUAAAGCGUGCGCAGGCGGCUCGCUAAGACAGAUGUGAAAUCCCCGGGCUUAACCUGGGAACUGCAUUUGUGACUGGCGGGCUAGAGUAUGGCAGAGGGGGGUAGAAUUCCACGUGUAGCAGUGAAAUGCGUAGAGAUGUGGAGGAAUACCGAUGGCGAAGGCAGCCCCCUGGGCCAAUACUGACGCUCAUGCACGAAAGCGUGGGGAGCAAACAGGAUUAGAUACCCGCGUAGUCCCUGUCUCUUAUAC